GACGAACGCUGGCGGCGUGCCUAACACAUGCAAGUCGAACGGAACUGCUUCGAAGGAUUUCUUCGGAAUGACAUUGAUUCAGUUUAGUGGCGGACGGGUGAGUAACGCGUGAGUAACCUGCCUUCAAGAGGGGGAUAACAUUCUGAAAAGAAUGCUAAUACCGCAUGACAUAUGAUUGUCGCAUGGCAGACAUAUCAAAGAUUUAUCGCUUGAAGAUGGACUCGCGUCCGAUUAGUUAGUUGGUGAGGUAACGGCCCACCAAGACCGCGAUCGGUAGCCGGACUGAGAGGUUGAACGGCCACAUUGGGACUGAGACACGGCCCAGACUCCUACGGGAGGCAGCAGUGGGGGAUAUUGCGCAAUGGGGGCAACCCUGACGCAGCAACGCCGCGUGAAGGAUGAAGG
rnacentral:rRNA from 1 species